GUUCUCUUUGAGUUUUGUUUAUUGAUAACCCAUUAGGUUGAUCCCAACUGUUGUAAUAUUUUCUGAGGCAAUCUGAUGGUUUAUAAAGAUGCCAGCCUGUAUCUUUAACUUUUAUAAUGAAUUGCUUACGAAUGUGUUUGCCUUGUCAACUAAAAUGUCUUGUAUUCCAUUCACAGGGAAGAGCACCCUGUUAAAUCAUCUUUUCCACACAAAUUUCAGGGAGAUGGAUGCAUAUAGGGGAAGGAGUCAAACCACCAAGGGUAUUUGGAGUUUAUUUGUUUUGAUUUCCCACAUUGCAGUUGAUGUCUAUGUACUUCAUUGAGAAAUUUGUGUUACAUCGGUAUCUAAGGCCUUUUUCUUUUAGUUUCUCAUAUUGUUCCAAUCUUGAGAGUUGGUCUUGCUCUGGCUGAACACGCAUCAUCCAUUUUGUCAGCUACAAAAACGUUCAUUUAGAAACGAAGAGACACUUUUGCCAACUGUUUAUCUAAACAAGUAAGAACUCCACUUCUCUAUGUGGAUCUAACCCCUAGUGUUUUUGAAGCAUGAUCUAUUGGAACUAUGCCUUCUAGUUGAAGUAUACUGUAGCAUUUUAGUAUGAUCAGUUUUGUUCUAUCCUUCUACUUUGCUGCUGGCUUAAUUUAUUGUUG